UACAGAGGUGGCAAGCGUUGUUCGGAAUUACUGGGCGUAAAGGGCGCGUAGGCGGCUUUGCAAGUCGAGUGUGAAAUCCCCAGGCUUAACCUGGGAACUGCAUUCGAGACUGCAUAGCUAGAGUAUGGGAGAGGGAAGUGGAAUUUCAGGUGUAGCGGUGAAAUGCGUAGAUAUCUGAAGGAACAUCAGUGGCGAAAGCGACUUCCUGGACCAAUACUGACGCUCAUGUGCGAAAGCGUGGGGAGCAAACAGG
rnacentral:rRNA from 1 species